GUCGAACCUUUCUCUGGGUUCCUUUCACCUGACAGGUGCAGCCGCGUGUAAUGGCUGAUGUGUGCACGCAAGUGCAGGUGCAGAGAUACGAGUCGAUUCGUAGCGAGGUACGGAAAAGGCGGCAUGAUUUCGUUGUGGCUUACGCGAGACGAGAUAAAUGGCUGUUGGCUCGGCGCAGCAGCGUUUCGCAAACGAAACCGGAAAUGUUGGCCCGCCUUCCGACCGGUAUCCGAGAUACGAAAAGUAUGCCGAUUUGAGAUAAAUUGUCGUAGCUGACAAGAAAAUUUUCUAUAAGUAAAGACUGAUUUAGUCACUGGUGAAAAAUCUGGUGGAG
rnacentral:misc_RNA from 1 species